CCUACGGGAGGCAGCAGUAGGGAAUAUUGCCCAAUGGGGGAAACCUUGAAGCAGCAACGCCGCGUGGAGGAUGAAGGUUUUCGGUUUGUAAACUCCUUUUGCUAGAGAAGACAAUGACGGUACUUAACGAAUAAGCACCGGCUAACCCCGUGCCAGCAGCCGCGGUAAUACGGAGGGUGCAAGCGUUAUUCGGAAUCACUGGGCGUAAAGAGCGCGUAGGCGGGAUAGCAAGUCAGGUGUGAAAUCCUAUGGCUUAACCAUGGAACUGCAUUUGAAACUGUUAUACUAGAGUAUGGGAGAGGUAAGUGGAAUUCAUGGUGUAGGGGUGAAAUCCGUAGAGAUCAGGAGGAAUACUCGUGGCGAAGGCGACCUGCUGGAACAUAACUGACGCUGAGGCGCGAAAGCGUGGGGAGCAAACAGGAUUAGAUACCCCAGUAGUC
rnacentral:rRNA from 1 species